rnacentral:sRNA from 1 species
CAGAGGGGUUUUGAAGUGGCCUGAUGGAAAGAUGUAUUCUGGCAUGUUCAGGAAUGGCUUGGAAGAUGGUUAUGGAGAAUACAGAAUCCCAAACAAGGCGAUGAACAAAGAAGACCAUUAUGUGGGCCAUUGGAAAGAAGGAAAAAUGUGCGGUCAAGGAGUCUACAGCUAUGCUUCUGGUGAAGUAUUUGAGGGCUGUUUUCAAGAUAAUAUGCGUCAUGGUCAUGGCCUUCUACGAAGUGGGAAAUUGACGUCCUCUUCUCCUAGUAUGUUCAUUGGCCAGUGGGUAAUGGAUAAGAAAGCAGGAUAUGGUGUCUUUGAUGAUAUCACUAGGGGGGAAAAGUAUAUGGGAAUGUGGCAAGAUGAUGUGUGUCAAGGGAAUGGUGUGGUGGUUACCCAGUUUGGAUUAUACUACGAGGGCAACUUUCACCUUAAUAAAAUGAUGGGAAAUGGGGUUUUGCUUUCUGAAGAUGAUACUAUCUAUGAGGGAGAAUUUUCAGAUGACUGGACUCUUAGCGGAAAGGGAACACUGACUAUGCCAAAUGGAGACUACAUUGAAGGUUAUUUUAGUGGAGAAUGGGGAUCUGGGAUAAAAAUCACUGGAACCUACUUCAAACCUAGUCUGUAUGAGAGUGAUAAAGACAGACCUAAAGUUUUACAGGGUGUCACUCUGUCACCAGGCUGGAGUGCAGUGGUGUGAUCAUGGCUCACUGCAGCCUUGACCUC